rfam:Octopus bimaculoides Scaffold58025_contig_2, whole genome shotgun sequence.
GCCCCCGUGGCCCUAUGGAUAAGGCACCGGCCUCCUAAGCCGGGGAUUGCGGGUUCGAGUCCCGUCGGAGGUA